CACGUCUUGACAUCCCGAUGCUAUUCUUAGAGAUAGUGAAGUUACUUCGGUACCUCCGACACCGGUGGUGGAUGGUUGUCCUCAGCUCGUGUCGGGAGAUGUUGGGUUAGGUCCCGCACCGAGCGCAACCCUUAUUGUUAUUUGCCAUCAUUAACUUGGGCACUCUAGCGAAACUGACGGUAAUACACCGGACGAAGGUGGGGAUGACUUCAAAACAUCAUGCCCCUUAUGACCUGUCCUACACCCGUGCUACAAUGGUCGGAACAACGAGUUGCGAGCCGGUGACGGGAAGCUAAUCUCUGAAAGCCGAUCUCACCUCCGAUUGGAUGCUGCAACUCGCCUCCAUGAAAUCGGAAUCGUUAGUAAUCGCGAAUCACCACGCCGCGUGGAAUACUUUCCCGGCUCUUGUACACACCUCCCGACACACCACGACAAUUUGUAACACCCAAAUGCCGCGAAGUAACCUUUUA
rnacentral:rRNA from 1 species